UACGUAGGGGGCUAGCGUUGUCCGGAAUCAUUGGGCGUAAAGAGCGUGUAGGCGGCCCGGUAAGUCCGCUGUAAAAGUCAAAGGCUCAACCUUUGAAUGUCAGUGGAUACUGCCGGGCUAGAGUCCGGAAGAGGCGAGUGGAAUUCCUGGUGUAGCGGUGAAAUGCGCAGAUAUCAGGAGGAACACCAAUGGCGAAGGCAGCUCGCUGGGACGUGACUGACGCUGAGGCACGAAAGCGUGGGGAGCAAACAGG
rnacentral:rRNA from 1 species